rnacentral:tRNA from 3 species
UCCUCGAUAGCUCAAUUGGCAGAGCAUCCGGCUGUUAACCGGAGGGUUGUAGGUUCGAGUCCUACUCGAGGAGCCA